rnacentral:lncRNA from 1 species
AUAUGCUAAUUUUAAAAUGAUACCAAGGUUGCAGUUAUUAAUGUUACAAUAAAACUAUUAUUUCCUUUUUGUCUCCCAUUCGUAUAUAGUACUAUUUUUUUCAGUGUAAUCGGAUAACCAGUACAACCAAUAACAUCCAAGUCGUACAAUUCAGGGGCCGGUAUAAGCGAGCAAUAUGUGGCGCAAAACAUGCCAAAAUAGCACCGGCUGAGCUUCCAACCCGCUUCUUUUUGUUUUUUCUUAAUUUGUUCGGUCAAAAUAUUAAUUUGAAUGCAUGAGUUGUACAAAUCGUUUAUAUCCUAUCAAUAACAAUAUACGGCAAUAAUGAUAACAUGGCAGGAUGAAAAGAACGGUAUGAUUAUCAUUUGACUAGUCAAAGAUUUUUUUUUUUCUUUUUUUGUGGUAAAAACUAGUCAAGGAUUGUUCACGACGGAAAAUUGAGGGAAGGUCGUAGAAACUUUAGAUCGACUUAGGAUUGGACAAUUCGACUCAAAAUCUUCCUAGAUGGGACAAGCACGCCUGGAAA